GGAUUUUAUAGACAACAUUAGCCUCUGAGGAGUUUACCCGAGGUAAUUUAUGUUCUAUUUGCAACUAAAGGAAAACUCUUAGAUGUUUGACAUCAUAAAACAGUAAAACAGGGAGAUUUAUUACAGGGGCAGAGAGAACAGGGCCCUUGAGCUGCUUUGUUUAUCAUAAAAAGUCAAGUUAAUCAGACGUGCACAUGUGCCUCCCAUAUUUUCUGCUUCAGUUUUGCUCCUGUGCUGCUCCUUGACAGGCACUGCAAGAUGUGAAGAGGCACCAAAAAAUAUUUGGACUCUGCAGUACGAAGAUUAUAUUUGUAUACCCUGAGGAUUUGCUUCUCCCUAUUGAGCUAACAUUAACAGAGAAGGGAUAUAUGUAAGGGAACUACAACUUCUCUCAACAAAGGGCUAUGUAGAAAAUCAGUUGGCUUAGUGAAAGUCUCUUCCUCUGCCUAGGGAGCUUUGCUCCCCGCUGUCCUGAGCCCAGCAGCCUUGCCUCUUCUUUGUGGGCUUUCUGCUGUCCUGAUGUUCCUCCUGCAUGUUUUCUCCAAAUCCCUCUGCAGGCUGCACAUGCAGGCAGCUGUAGUAGUUAAGUUGAGCUGAAACAACUGCCCAUCACCCAUCGUGCUCUGCAGAAAGAAUGAGUCCUGUGGGAAUUAGGGAAGCCGAGGGAGAAUGAAAGCAGGUGACAUAGCCCAUCGUGGGUCUGCUUGGGCUGUGAACAGCACCAAAAAAGGGAAAAGCAGCAAAUUGGUGCUCCUGGUGCAGCUGUGGGUGGUUAAGCAGCAAAGCCCAUAGGGCCUCCAUGUGAGUGCUCCCAGCUGCAGGAGGAGAGGAGUUGGGGGCAGUUUGUGCUUGGUGCUUCUGCUGGUCCUGUGGUCUCAAGCAGCAGGGGAAGAUACCCCUGGCUACCAAGGGCAUCCCCAGGGCCAGCACCCUACCAGCAGCUGCGCUCCAGCCUUGGGAACAACCCACUGCCUUAAACAAAUAUGGGCUGCAUGGAGAAAUGAGAACAUCUUUAACCACUCUGGAGGGAUGUAGGCCGUGCUUACAUGACUUGGAUGUUUACUUGAUGAACAGCGAACUGAUGUGGUCUCCUCGCUCCCUUCCAGCCCUUGGGAACCACUUGUGAAAUGAGUAGCAAUUGUUCUCUGCUCAAUUAGUCAUCUGUAAGUGAAUGCCUCGUGGUGGCCAUCCCCUGAGUGG
rnacentral:lncRNA from 1 species